UAAUACGGAGGGUGCGAGCGUUGUUCGGAAUCACUGGGCGUAAAGCGCGUGUAGGCGGCCUGCUAAGUCUGAUGUGAAAGCCCGAGGCUCACCCUCGGAAGUGCAUUGGAAACUGGCAGACUGGAGUCCCGGAGAGGAGGGUGGAAUUCCUGGUGUAGCGGUGAAAUGCGUAGAUAUCAGGAGGAACACCGGUGGCGAAGGCGGCCCUCUGGACGGUGACUGACGCUGAGACGCGAAAGCGUGGGGAGCAAACAGGA
rnacentral:rRNA from 1 species